rnacentral:rRNA from 1 species
UACGAAGGGGGCUAGCGUUGUUCGGAUUUACUGGGCGUAAAGCGCACGUAGGCGGAUCGUUAAGUGAGGGGUGAAAUCCCAGGGCUCAACCCUGGAACUGCCUUUCAUACUGGCGAUCUUGAGUCCGGAAGAGGUAAGUGGAACUCCUAGUGUAGAGGUGGAAUUCGUAGAUAUUCGCAAGAACACCAGUGGCGAAGGCGGCUUACUGGUCCGGUUCUGACGCUGAGGCGCGAAAGCGUGGGGAGCAAACAGGG